UGCUACUGGAAUAUCAAGACUCACAGCAUCACAGACCCGGGACACACCCGGGACUAGGAGGGUCUCGGGCAAGGAUUGGGUCUCUUUAGGCUCCGCUCACUGAAGACGCGAUGGGAGUGGCAGCCAUCUUUCUGCUGCUUCUAGCAGCUUCACCUCACAUUCUGACAACAGCUGAAGACCAAACCACAACAGCUCCACCUGAAACAACUACAGCUGACAAUACAACUAUAGCUCUCAUGACAACUACAGCAGCAGCUACAACCACAGAACCUGCUUUAACUACAGCAGCAGCUACAACUACAGAACCAGCUACAACUACAGAACCUGCUUCAACUACAGAACCUGCUUCAACUACAGCCGCAGCUACAACUACAGAACCAGCUACAACUACAGAACCUGCUUCGACUACAGAACCUGCUUCGACUACAGUCGCAGCUACAACUACAGAACCUGCUUCAACUACAGAACCUGCUACAACUACAGA